UGCAAAUCUUUAUAUUACAAUAAUGAAGUCAAUGUGGCCACAAUUGCAUAUGCACGUUUUCCGAGAUGGAUUUCUUCAGUCAACAAAUCUAUGCAUUCACAUAAUCACCACUUUGGAUUCGUUUGAUCAAGAUCAUGCGAUCUAGAUUUUAAUGUAGAUUUUCAUCUUUUGAAAAACUAAAAUACCGAACUUGAAAUAUGGACCAUAUGGAUCAAACAGCUACUAGUGUGGUAACCGCGUGAUUGUGUGGAUUGCUGACCGCAACAAAUCCAAAUCCGUCGAAAACCUCUAAAAUUGGAAACCACGAUAUUGUAGUUGCAGGCCGCAAUUUAAAAUUAUUGCCAUGUCACAGUGUUUG
rnacentral:lncRNA from 1 species